GAGCCAGCAAAAGUGCAGCACACUCCAUUGUAAACACUAAACAGGUUUUGUCAUGCGUCGUAGGUAAUUAGCUCGCAUAAUAGCGUACAGUCUCCUAUACCAUAAGAGGGAAAAUAAACAAUCAAAUUUAUUAUUUAUAUCGCUUGCCCUAUCCCGCAUAACAAUGAUGACGAUGUCCGCCGCGCACCCAUGCCAUAAGUCGAAUAACAGUGCGACUACGGAGCGGCGGCGGCAGCAGUACAUUCCAUAUCUUUGCUGCGGCGAAUUUGAAACUGCCGCGGAACGCGGCGGUGCAACAGCGCGGCAGGACUAGCGACCAAGCUGACGCUCUGGUGAACGCUGCUUUCACGUCGCGGGACCACACCAACUCCUCAGCCAGAUAAGACGGGACUCUGUAUUUUAUAACCCCAAAGAGAAGUGUAGCCAAGUGCAGAUCUCUUCGCGUUUUCAUUUUUAAAAUAUUAGCGUCGUUUAUGUAAGGGGUUACGUGCGUGCGUGGUGGUAUAUUAAAAUAAAACCUUGCGCAGGCGUUCUGCACACGUUUUAUUAUUUGUUGUGUGGGCUUCAACAGCCGCG